rnacentral:rRNA from 1 species
CGAGAGGCCCAAACGUUAUUCGGAAUUACUGGGCUUAAAGAGUUCGUAGGCGGCGCGGAAAGUAGGGUGUGAAAGCCCUCGGCUUAACCGAGGAAUUGCGCCCUAAACUACCGUGCUUGAGGAAGCUAGAGGUGAGCGGAACUGAUGGUGGAGCGGUGAAAUGCGUUGAUAUCAUCAGGAACACCGGAGGCGAAGGCGGCUCACUGGGGCUUUUCUGACGCUGAGGAACGAAAGCCAGGGUAGCGAACGGGAUUAGAUACCCCGGUAGUCCUGGCCGUAAACGAUGAGCACUAGGCCGGAGGGCUGCACAGCUUUUCGGCCGUAGCUAAAGUGUUAAAGUGCUCCGCCUGGGGAGUAUGGUCGCAAGGCUG